rnacentral:rRNA from 1 species
CCUACCACAUGCAAGUCGAACGGUAGCACAAAGAGCUUGCUCUCGGGUGACGAGUGGCGGACGGGUGAGUAAUGUCUGGAAAACUACCUGAUGGAGGGGGAUAACUACUGGAAACGGUAGCUAAUACCGCAUAACGUCCCAAGACCAAAGAGGGGGACCUUCGGGCCUCUUGCCAUCAAAUGUGCCCAGAUGGGAUUAGCUAGUAGGUGGGGUAACGGCUCACCUAGGCAACAAUCCCUAGCUGGUCUGAGAGGAUGACCAGCCACACUGGAACUGAAACACGGUCCAAACUCCUACGGGAGGCAGCAGUGGGGAAUAUUGCACAAUGGGCGCAAGCCUGAUGCACCCAUGCCGCGUGUAUGAAAAAGGCCUUCGGGUUGUAAAGUACUUUCAGCGGGGAGGAAGGCGUUGUGGUUAAUAACCACAGCGAUUGACGUUACCCGCAAAAAAAGCACCGGCUAACUCCGUG